UGAAACACGGACCAAGGAGUGCAACAUGUGCGCGAGCCCUUUGGCGAGCAAACCAGAAGGCGCAAUGAAAGUGAAGGCACGGUCGCCGUGCUGAGGUGAGAGCCGGCCCCGACGGGACGGCGCAUCAUCGACCGAUCCCAUCCGCACUGCUCGCAGUGUGGCGGGAUUCGAGUGAGAGUGUACCUGUUGCGACCCGAAAGAUGGUGAACUAUGCCUGAAUAGGGUGAAGCCAGAGGAAACUCUGGUGGAGGCCCGUAGCGAUUCUGACGUGCAAAUCGAUCGUCAAAUUUGGGUAUAGGGGCGAAAGACUAAUCGAACCAUCUAGUAGCUGGUUCCCUCCGAAGUUUCCCUCAGGAUAGCUGUAGCCCGAAGCAGUUUUAUCAGGUAAAGCGAAUGAUUAGAGGUAUCGGGGAAGAAACUUCCUCGACCUAUUCUCAAACUUUAAAUAGGUAAGAAGUCCGACUUGCUCAAUCUGAAGCCGGACACAGAAUGCUGGGUUACUAGUGGGCCAUUUUUGGUAAGCAGAACUGGCGAUGCGGGAUGAACCGAACGCAGAGUUAAGGUGCCAAAGUCGACGCUCAUCAGAUCCCACAAAAGGUGUUGGUUGAUAUAGACAGCAGGACGGUGGCCAUGGAAGUCGGAAUCCGCUAAGGAGUGUGUAACAACUCACCUG
rnacentral:rRNA from 1 species